rnacentral:rRNA from 1 species
UACGUAGGGACCAAGCGUUGUUCGGAUUUACUGGGCGUAAAGGGCGCGUAGGCGGCAUGACAAGUCACUUGUGAAAUCUCCGGGCUUAACCCGGAACUGCCAAGUGAUACUGUCGCGCUAGAGUGCGGAAGGGGCAAUCGGAAUUCUCGGUGUAGCGGUGAAAUGCGUAGAUAUCGAGAGGAACACCUGAGGUGAAGACGGGUUGCUGGGCCGACACGUGACGCUGGAGGAGCGAAAGCGUGGGGAGCGAACAGG